rnacentral:rRNA from 1 species
CGAACGCUGGCGGCGUGCUUAAUACAUGCAAGUCGAACGAGAAAUCCCGACUUCGGUUGGGAGAGUAAAGUGGCGAACGGGUGAGUAACACGUGGAAAAUCUACCCUUGUGUCUGGGAUAAUCCUCCGAAAGGGGGUCUAAUACCGGAUAACAUUCCGAAGUGGCAUCGCUUUGGACUCAAAGGCGGGGCAACCUGCCGCGUGAGGAUGGUUCCGCGCUCCAUUAGCUUGUUGGUAGGGUAAUGGCCUACCAAGGCUGCGAUGGAUAGCCGGCCUGAGAGGGUGAUCGGCCACACUGGGACUGAGAUACGGCCCAGACUCCUACGGGAGGCAGCAGUAGGGAAUAUUGCGCAAUGGACGAAAGUCUGACGCAGCAACGCCGCGUGGGUGAUGAAGCAUCUUGGUGUGUAAAACCCUGUCAGUAGGGAAGAAACGUAUGAGGAGUAACUGCCUCGUGCCUGACGGUACCUGCAGAGGAAGUCCCGGCUAACUCC